AUUGAACGCUGGCGGCAGGCCUAACCCAUGCAAGUCGAGCGAGCGGCGGACGGGUGAGUAAUGUCUGGGAAACUGCCUGCUGGAGGGGGAUAACUACUGGAAACGGUAGCUAAUACCGCAUAACCUCAGAUGUGCUCAGAUGGGAUUAGCUAGUAGGUUGGUUCACGGCUCACCUAGGCGACGAUCCCUAGCUGGUCUGAGAGGAUGACCAGACACACUGGAACUGAGACACGGUCCAGACUCCUACGGGAGGCAGCAGUGGGGAAUAUUGCACAAUGGGCGCAAGCCUAGUGCAGCCAUGCCGCGUGUGUGAAGAAGGACUUCGGGUUGUAAAGCACUUUCAGCGGGGAGGCGUUACCCUCAGAAGAAGCACCGGCUAAGUCCGUGCCAGCAGCCGCGGUAAUAC
rnacentral:rRNA from 1 species